rnacentral:rRNA from 1 species
GAUCAUGGCUCAGGACGAACGCUGGCGGCGCGCCUAACACAUGCAAGUCGAACGAGAGAGAGGGAGCUUGCUUCCUCAAUCGAGUGGCGAACGGGUGAGUAACGCGUGAGGAACCUGCCUCAAAGAGGGGGACAACAGUUGGAAACGACUGCUAAUACCGCAUAAGCCCACAGCUCGGCAUCGAGCAGAGGGAAAAGGAGCAAUCCGCUUUGAGAUGGCCUCGCGUCCGAUUAG